GACGAACGCUGGCGGCGUGCUUAACACAUGCAAGUCGAACGGUAAGGCCCCAAGUUGCUGGGGUACACGAGUGGCGAACGGGUGAGUAACACGGGGGGGAACUGCCCCGCACUUCGGGAUAAGCCUGGGAAACUGGGUCGAAUACCGGAGAGGACCGCUCCGUGAGGGUGUGGUGGAAGGUUUUGCGGUGUGGGAUGGGCCAGGGGCCUAUCAGCUUGUUGGUGGGGUAAUGGCCUACCAAGGCGGCGACGGGUAGCCGGCCUGCGAGGGUGGACGGGCACCGUGCGACUGAGACACGGACCAGACUCCUACGGGCGGCAGCAGUGGUGAAUAUUGCGCAACGGGCGCAAGCCUGAUGCCACGACGCCGCGUGGGGGAUAACGGCCUUCGGGUUGUAAACACCUUUCACCAUCGACGUAGAUUUUCUGACGGUAGAUGGAUAAGAAGCACCGGCUAACUACGUG
rnacentral:rRNA from 1 species